rnacentral:lncRNA from 1 species
AGUGCAGGCAACUUGAACUCACAAGAAAGAAAUCAUAAAGUGACUUCUCUCUAUAAAAAGGGGAAGACUUGUGGAAAAGACACCAUUUUUGUGCCUGGCUCAGUGAAAGCUAGAAAGCAAAUCUCUUCACACUCCUUGAGAGAGAAGGUUGUGUCCAGACUUGAAAAUUAAGAUUUAGAAAGUCCCACGGCCUGUCUGAGCUUUACACUGGGAGGAAUACGA